rnacentral:tRNA from 1 species
AAAAAUGAUAUAUAUUUAUAUAUAAGGUAAGGGGCGGAUGUAGCCAAGUGGAUCAAGGCAGUGGAUUUGUGAAUCCACCAUGCGCGA